rnacentral:tRNA from 1 species
GGGGAUAUAGCUCAGUUGGUAGAGUGCUUGCCUUGCAUGCACAAGGCCCUGGGUUCAAUCCUUAUCACCA